rnacentral:lncRNA from 1 species
AAUUGGUAAGAAGAGGUUUAGGUUAUUCUGUGUCUUUUGUUGUGGGGGAAUGUGAAUGCAUAUAAUGAAAAGGAUGGAUAAAGUGUUUCAAAUUGGUGGAUCAAGUUUAUUACUCCCCCAGCCAAUGCUGAAGAUGACAUACGUUAAUACAGGGCUCUGGAGAGUUCAGAGAUUCUACUCUUUUUGACUGAACAACCUUGAGGAAAGUGUAGGUAAGAGAUUGGCUUCCUCAUUUUGUAAGUGGGAGAAUGGUAAACGUGUAAGGUCAAGUUGUUUGCAGACUUAUGAGGUGAAGUCUGGGGUUUAUAGCUCAUAUCUCAGAAAUCCUAAAGGUCAUGAAAGUGAUAGAUAUGUGAGACAAGGGAUGAUUCAAAAGUCAAGUAUUUGGCUUUUGAAUGCACUGUGACUUUUGAAGAGGCAGUUGAGAGGCAAGUUGUGGUCUUUCUUGGGUUAAUAAAAAUUUAAAUAGUUACCAUUUUUGAGGCAAACAUUGAGCUGUAGGAAAAGGAGACCCUUCAAAAAUGUAAUGACUGAAGGGAAGAAACUAAAACUAGCAUUCAAAGUUUGUUACAAAUAGUAUAUCCCAAGGGGAAAUCUAUAUCCAAAUAACCACAAAUUAACUGGGGUUUUUUUUUUGGAUGGGGCUUAUAUUAAAAGUAAUAUCUCAUGUGGUGAUGUGGGAGAAAGCCUAUUGGUAGUGGUUACUUUGUCAAGAAAAGAUCUAGUUGAAAGGAGCUAGAUAUGCACCAAAGAGACAAGAGGAGCCUGCAGCAAUAAUUUAAUUGUAUAAAGAAACUACUCUGCCACCCAUAGACCCAUGUG